rnacentral:rRNA from 1 species
AUUGAACGCUAGCGGGAUGCUUUACACAUGCAAGUCGAACGAGUGGCGGACGGGUGAGUAAUAUACCGGAAAGUGCCCAGUAGCGGGGGAUAACUACUCGACAGAGUGGCUAAUACCGCAUAUUAUUGAAGCGGCCGAUAUGGGAUUAGCUAGUUGGUGUGGUAAAGUCUAACCAAGGCAACGAUCCGUAGCUGGUUUGAGAGGACGAACAGCCACACCGUGACUGAGACACGGCCCAGACUCCUACGGGAGGCAGCAGUGGGGAAUUUUGGACAAUGGGCGAAACCCUGACCCAGCCAUCCCGCGUGUAUGAGAAGGCCUUCGGGUUGUAAAGUACUUUUGGCAGAGAAGCGGUAUCUGCAGAAUAAGCACCGGCUAACUACGUGCCAGCAGCCGCGGUAAUUC